GGGUAACCUACCUAUAAGACUGGGAUAACUUCGGGAAACCGGAGCUAAUACCGGAUAACAUUUGGAACCGCAUGGUUCUAAAGUGAAAGAUGGUUUUGCUAUCACUUAUAGAUGGACCCGCGCCGUAUUAGCUAGUUGGUAAGGUAACGGCUUACCAAGGCAACGAUACGUAGCCGACCUGAGAGGGUGAUCGGCCACACUGGAACUGAGACACGGUCCAGACUCCUACGGGAGGCAGCAGUAGGGAAUCUUCCGCAAUGGGCGAAAGCCUGACGGAGCAACGCCGCGUGAGUGAUGAAGGGUUUCGGCUCGUAAAACUCUGUUAUUAGGGAAGAACAAAUGUGUAAGUAACUGUGCACAUCUUGACGGUACCUAAUCAGAAAGCCACGGCUAACUACGUGCCAGCAGCCGCGGUAAUACGUAGGUGGCAAGCGUUAUCCGGAAUUAUUGGGCGUAAAGCGCGCGUAGGCGGUUUCUUAAGUCUGAUGUGAAAGCCCACGGCUCAACCGUGGAGGGUCAUUGGAAACUGGGAAACUUGAGUGCAGAAGAGGAAAGUGGAAUUCCAUGUGUAGCGGUGAAAUGCGCAGAGAUAUGGAGGAACACCAGUGGCGAAGGCGACUUUCUGGUCUGUAACUGACGCUGAUGUGCGAAAGCGUGGGGAUCAAACAGGAUUAGAUACCCUGGUAGUCCACGCCGUAAACGAUGAGUGCUAAGUGUUAGGGGGUUUCCGCCCCUUAGUGCUGCAGCUAACGCAUUAAGCACUCCGCCUGGGGAGUACGACCGCAAGGUUGAAACUCAAAGGAAUUGACGGGGACCCGCACAAGCGGUGGAGCAUGUGGUUUAAUUCGAAGCAACGCGAAGAACCUUACCAAAUCUUGACAUCCUUUGAAAACUCUAGAGAUAGAGCCUUCCCCUUCGGGGGACAAAGUGACAGGUGGUGCAUGGUUGUCGUCAGCUCGUGUCGUGAGAUGUUGGGUUAAGUCCCGCAACGAGCGCAACCCUUAAGCUUAGUUGCCAUCAUUAAGUUGGGCACUCUAGGUUGACUGCCGGUGACAAACCGGAGGAAGGUGGGGAUGACGUCAAAUCAUCAUGCCCCUUAUGAUUUGGGCUACACACGUGCUACAAUGGACAAUACAAAGGGCAGCUAAACCGCGAGGUCAUGCAAAUCCCAUAAAGUUGUUCUCAGUUCGGAUUGUAGUCUGCAACUCGACUACAUGAAGCUGGAAUCGCUAGUAAUCGUAGAUCAGCAUGCUACGGUGAAUACGUUCCCGGGUCUUGUACACACCGCCCGUCACACCACGAGAGU
rnacentral:rRNA from 1 species